CACACAACCACACCCAGAGAGAAAGGCCCUGCUGUUAACCAGAUUGUCAUCUUUGGCAACCAAUGGAUGCUAGAGGUCUCAAUGCCUUCCUCCACCUCAGAGUGUUUGAUCAGAGUCUUCUUUUUUAGAAAAAAAAAUUUUUUUAAUAGAGACGAGGUCUCGCUAUGUUGAGCAGGCUGGUGGAAGUCCUGGCCUCAAGUGAUCCACCCCCUUUGGCCUUCCAAAGUGCUGGAAUAAUAGGCAUGAGCCACUGCGCCCAGCUAUAGUAUUCUUUCAACCACAGACAGUAGAGUUCCUACGAGGAAUUCCAGGAAGCUGAUGUUUUUCAUCCCUUCCACCUUUAUCAGAAUGGAUUUUAAGUCCCUUACAGUCUGGAGCGCUGGCUAACAGCUGUUGACCUGCUUCUUACUCCAGCUCUGGUUCCAACAGUAACACUGGCUCCUCAAACUUCCAACCCAAGGAACGGUUUCUGCCAAGAAAAUGUGCCUUAGGAGAUGAGACUACCAGUGGAGCAGAAUUCCGGCAGUUCUCCAGGGGCUGCCUGUCACGAGGGCACUCAAGCUGCCUGCAGAGAGGCCCAUACGGGGAGCAUCUAAGGUCCCGCCAACAGCUGGCACCAACUUGCCAACCAUCCGGGAAGAAGACCCUCCAGCCCCAGUCAAGCUUGCAAAUGGCUGUGGCUCUGGCUGAUGUCUCAACUGCAACCUCUUGAAAGACUCCAAGCCAGAAUGUUCCUGAAUUUCUGACCCCCCAAGACUGUGAGAUAUAUUAAAUGUGUAUUGUUAUUUUAAAUUUCUACGUUUUGAUUUGUUACAUAGCAAUAGAUAACUAGCAUGUAUCCUGUUGCCUUCCAAAACG
rnacentral:lncRNA from 1 species